UACGAAGGGGGCGAGCGUUGUUCGGAUUUACUGGGCGUAAAGGGCGCGCAGGCGGCGAUCUUUGUCAGGCGUGAAAGCCCCGGGCUUAACCUGGGAACUGCGCUUGGGACGGGAUUGCUGGAGACCGGGAGAGGAGAGUGGAAUUCCCAGUGUAGAGGUGAAAUUCGUAGAUAUCGAGAGGAACACCAGUGGCGAAGGCGAGUCUCUGGACGACACCUGACACUGAGGCACGAAAGCUAGGGGAGCAAACAGG
rnacentral:rRNA from 1 species